GGUGAAGAACGCAGCGAAAUGCGAUAAGUAAUGUGAAUUGCAGAAUUCAGUGAAUCAUCGAAUCUUUGAACGCACAUUGCGCCCGCCAGUAUUCUGGCGGGCAUGCCUGUUCGAGCGUCAUUACAACCCUCAGGCCCCCGGGCCUGGCGUUGGGGAUCGGCGGAGCCCCCCGUGGGCACACGCCGUCCCCCAAAUGCAGUGGCGGUCCCGCCGCAGCUUCCAUCGCGUAGUAGCUAACACCUCGCGACUGGAGAGCGGCGCGGCCACGCCGUAAAACACCCAACUCUUCUGAAGUUGACCUCGAAUCAGGUAGGAAUACCCGCUGAACUUAAGCAUAUCAAUAAGCGGAGGA
rnacentral:misc_RNA from 1 species